GUGAGGAAUAUUGGUCAAUGGACGGAAGUCUGAACCAGCCAUGCCGCGUGAAGGAUGAAGGCGUUCUGCGUUGUAAACUUCUUUUAUCAGAGAAGAAACCACUGAUUUCUAUUAGUGUUGACGGUAUCUGAUGAAUAAGCACCGGCUAACUCCGUGCCAGCAGCCGCGGUAAUACGGAGGGUGCAAGCGUUAUCCGGAUUUACUGGGUUUAAAGGGUGUGUAGGCGGGCUAUUAAGUCAGGGGUGAAAUCCCGGGGCUCAACCUCGGAACUGCCUUUGAUACUAUUAGUCUUGAAUUAUGUUGAGGUUGGCGGAAUAUAACAUGUAGCGGUGAAAUGCAUAGAUAUGUUAUAGAACACCGAUUGCGAAGGCAGCUGGCUAAACAUAUAUUGACGCUGAGGCACGAAAGCGUGGGUAGCGAACAGGAUUAGAAACCCCAGUAGUCC
rnacentral:rRNA from 1 species